CCUACGGGAGGCAGCAGUAGGGAAUCUUCCACAAUGGGCGAAAGCCUGAUGGAGCAACGCCGCGUGAGUGAAGAAGGUCUUCGGAUCGUAAAACCCUGUUGUUAGGGAAGCAAGUGCGUGAGAGUAACUGUGCACGUGUCUACGGUAUCUAACCAGAAAGCCACGGCUAACUCCGUGCCAGCAGCCGCGGUAAUACGUAGGUGGCAAGCGUUGUUCGGUUUUGUUGGGCGUAAAGGGAACGCAGGCGGUCUGUUAAGUCUAAUGUGAAAGCCUUCGGCUUAACCGGAGUAGUGCAUUUGAAACUGGGAGACUUGAGUGUGGACGAGGAGAGUGGAACUCCAGGUGUAGCGGUGAAAUGCGUAGAUAUAUGGAAGAACACCAGUGGCGAAGGCGUCGUUCUGGUCUAUAACUGACGCUGAGGUUCGAAAGCGUGGGUAGCAAACAGGAUUAGAUACCCGAGUAGUC
rnacentral:rRNA from 1 species